rnacentral:rRNA from 1 species
UACGUAGGGUGCGAGCGUUGUCCGGAAUUAUUGGGCGUAAAGGGCUCGUAGGCGGUUUGUCGCGUCGGGAGUGAAAUCCACUGGCUUAACUGGUGGCUUGCUUUCGAUACGGGCAGACUGGAGGUAUGCAGGGGAGAACGGAAUUCCUGGUGUAGCGGUGAAAUGCGCAGAUAUCAGGAGGAACGCCAGAAGCGAAGGCAGCUCUCUGGGUCCCUACCGACGCUGGGGUGCGAAAGCAUGGGGAGCGAACAGG